AAAAGCUUCCAUUAACAGUAACAAGAAUGUUGGAUCUUACUUGAUGUAUGCAUAAAAGAUAACUCUCAGAGCCUGUGUGUUUACCACAAUGCUUACUGACCUUCUCGAGGACCGUAUGGCCCGGUUUUGUCGCAUUCGGAUAUUUGUAGAUACAUUUAUAUUACGAUGAACGUUUUCAGGGAACGAAAAUUUGUAGUGUUUUCUAUCAUGUUAAUGAUAUUUCAUUUUCUGCAGUGUCGGUACUAUGUUUAGAACGAUUUUACAAAAUCAUUUUAUAGGGAAUGUUGUCAUUGGUUGAUACCUUGUUUAUGUUAUAAUAAGAUAAUUUCUGAAAUUUGUGUGACACAAAAUUUUGUCAACGUGUAUAUAUAUUUAUUCAUAUGUUUUGAUAUAAAAAUAAUGAUCAACUAGACGUUAGAUGCCAAAGAAUACUUUUAACAGAUAUUUACCUUACUGAUUAAGAUAGUAGAUACAUGUGUCAUAUUAAUGAGCAAUUAUGUUUAUCAGAUAAAUUGGAUGCAUGG
rnacentral:sRNA from 1 species